CCUGGCUCAGAACGAACGCUGGCGGCAUGCCUAACACAUGCAAGUCGAACGAACCCUUCGGGGUUAGUGGCGCACGGGUGCGUAACGCGUGGGAACCUGCCUUUAGGUUUGGAAUAACAGUGAGAAAUUACUGCUAAUACCAAAUAAUGUCUUCGGACCAAAGAUUUAUCGCCUUUAGAUGGGCCCGCGUUGGAUUAGCUUGUUGGUGGGGUAAUGGCCUACCAAGGCGACGAUCCAUAGCUGGUCUGAGAGGAUGAUCAGCCACACUGGGACUGAGACACGGCCCAGACUCCUACGGGAGGCAGCAGUGGGGAAUAUUGGACAAUGGGCGAAAGCCUGAUCCAGCAAUGCCGCGUGAGUGAUGAAGGCCUUAGGGUUGUAAAGCUCUUUUACCAGGGAUGAUAAUGACAGUACCUGGAGAAUAA
rnacentral:rRNA from 1 species